UAGAGUUUGAUUCAUGGCUCAGAUGAACGCUGGCGGCAUGCCUUACCCAUGCAAAGUCGAACGGCAGCACGGAGCUUGCUCUGGUGGCGAGUGGCGAACGGGUGAGUAAUAUAUCGGAACGUACCCUAGAGUGGGGGAUAACGUAGCGAAAGUUACGCUAAUACCGCAUACGAUCUACGGAUGAAAGUGGGGGAUCGCAAGACCUCAUGCUCGUGGAGCGGCCGAUAUCUGAUUAGCUAGUUGGUAGGGUAAAAGCCUACCAAGGCAUCGAUCAGUAGCUGGUCUGAGAGGACGACCAGCCACACUGGAACUGAGACACGGUCCAGACUCCUACGGGAGGCAGCAGUGGGGAAUUUUGGACAAUGGGCGAAAGCCUGAUCCAGCAAUGCCGCGUGAGUGAAGAAGGCCUUCGGGUUGUAAAGCUCUUUUGUCAGGGAAGAAACGGUGAAGGCUAAUAUCCUUUGCUAAUGACGGUACCUGAAGAAUAAGCACCGGCUAACUACGUGCCAGCAGCCGCGGUAAUACGUAGGGUGCAAGCGUUAAUCGGAAUUACUGGGCGUAAAGCGUGCGCAGGCGGUUUUGUAAGUCUGAUGUGAAAUCCCCGGGCUCAACCUGGGAAUUGCAUUGGAGACUGCAAGGCUAGAAUCUGGCAGAGGGGGGUAGAAUUCCACGUGUAGCAGUGAAAUGCGUAGAUAUGUGGAGGAACACCGAUGGCGAAGGCAGCCCCCUGGGUCAAGAUUGACGCUCAUGCACGAAAGCGUGGGGAGCAAACAGGAUUAGAUACCCUGGUAGUCCACGCCCUAAACGAUGUCUACUAGUUGUCGGGUCUUAAUUGACUUGGUAACGCAGCUAACGCGUGAAGUAGACCGCCUGGGGAGUACGGUCGCAAGAUUAAAACUCAAAGGAAUUGACGGGGACCCGCACAAGCGGUGGAUGAUGUGGAUUAAUUCGAUGCAACGCGAAAAACCUUACCUACCCUUGACAUGGCUGGAAUCCCCGAGAGAUUGGGGAGUGCUCGAAAGAGAGCCAGUACACAGGUGCUGCAUGGCUGUCGUCAGCUCGUGUCGUGAGAUGUUGGGUUAAGUCCCGCAACGAGCGCAACCCUUGUCAUUAGUUGCUACGA
rnacentral:rRNA from 2 species